GAUGGAGAGAUGGAUGGAUGGAUGGAGAGAUGGAUGGAUGGAUGAGAGAUGAUGGAUGGAUGGAGAGAUGGAUGGAUGGAUGGAGAGAUGGAUGAAGAGAUGGAUGGAUGGAGAGAGAGAGAUGAUGGAUGGAUGGAGAGAGAGAUGGAUGGAGAGAUGGAUGGAUGGAUGGAGAGAGAGAUGGAUGGAUGGAUGGAGAGAUGGAUGAAGAGAUGCAUGUGAAUGUGUGUUAUUUGAUUGCAUCCCAGCCACAGACUCAGAGAAUCAACAAAGGCAUUGUGGAGAAGGUCAUUACCCUAAACUAUUGAAGGUCAUUACCCUAAACUAUUGAAGGUCAUUACCCUAAACUAUUGAAGGUCAUUACCCUAAACUAUUGAAGGUCAUUACCCUAAACUAUUGAAGGUCAUUACCCUAAACUAUUGAAGGUCAUUACCCUAAACUAUUGAAGGUCAUUACCCUAAACUAUUGAAGGUCAUUACCCUAAACUAUUGAAGGUCAUUACCCUAAACUAUUGAAGGUCAUUACCCUAAACUAUUGAAGGUCAUUACCCUAAACUAUUGAAGGUCAUUACCCUAAACUAUUGAAGGUCAUUACCCUAAACUAUUGAAGGUCAUUACCCUUGAGCCGACAUCCACAGCAUUUCGGGGAAAUUGUACUGUCAUGGCCCAGAAAAUAAUUUCUUGCAUCCCUUUGUUUUGUUGUAGCUGUCCUCUUUACGGAGGUUACUGUCGUCUUUACGGAGGUUACUGUCGUCUUUACGGAGGUUGCUGUCGUCUUUACGGAGGUUGCUGUCGUCUUUACGGAGGUUACUGUCCCCUUUACGGAGGUUGCUGUCCCCUUUACGGAUCUCUCCUCCCCUUCCUGUCUGGGCCUUGAACUCUCCUCCCCUUCAUGUCUGGGCCUUGAACUCUCCUCCCCUUCCUGUCUGGGCCUUGAACCCUCCUCCCCUUCCUGUCUGGGCCUUGAACUCUCCUCCCCUUCCUGUCUGGGCCUUGAUCACUCCUCCCCUUCAUGGCUGGGCAGAUCAGUAUUUUAUUGUUUUCUCUGCUAUUAUUCAGUUGUAUUUCUGAUUGAAGAUGUCCACUACAUGACCAGAAGGACAUAUAGUGGACCUGCUUCACCUGAUGUGUUGCUGUAGCAUAUCGAGACCUGCUUCACGUGAUGUGUUGUUGUAGCAUAUCGAGACCUGCUUCACCUGAUGUGUUGCUGUAGCAUAUCGAGACCUGCUUCACCUGGUGUGUUGCUGUAGCAUACCGAGACCUGCUUCACCUGAUGUGUUGCUGUAGCAUAUCGAGACCUGCUUCACCUGAUGUGUUGCUGUAGCAUAUCGAGACCUGCUUCACAUGAUGUGUUGCUGUAGCAUACCGAGACCUGCUUCACCUGAUGUGUUGCUGUAGCAUAUCGAGACCUGCUUCAGCUGAUGUGUUGCUGUAGCAUACCGAGACCUGCUUCACCUGAUGUGUUGCUGUAGCAUAUCGAGACCUGCUUCACCUGAUGUGUUUCUGUACAUAUCAAGACCUUAAGCUUGAGGAAAAAGCUCAUGUCCGUACAAUAAACACUAUUUAUUUUGUAAUAUGUUAUUUGUUGCUUUAUGCAGUAAUUUAUCAAAUGAGAAAUAAAGUACAUUAUAAACA